UUGGUUUUGGUUUAACUGCUCUAAUAAGGAGAUUCAGCUACUUGGAUUAACAAGAGUGGUUAAAAUGAGUAAGAAAGUCCAAGUAUUUUAGGGUAUCCAUGAGUUCCAAUUUGAUGCAGACAUGAUAAUUGAAAAUCAGAUUCAGGUUCAAAUUGAUAGGGAAUGGUAUCAGAUCAUGACAGUGUGGUUGAGUAGAGUAAUCUAGGCAUGGUGCAGUUUUACUUCAAUUUCAUUGACUACGCAACAGAUAACUAGCAACGAGGACACUGAGUUUACCCGGUGAACCAAAACGCUUACAAGGCUAUCUUAUCAUUAUUCCCUAUGCAUAUGCAACAGUCCUAAAUGAAACACUCUAAACUCAAUCCUAAAUGUAAUGCAACUACAUGAACACUCUGUUUUUGUGAAAUCAUUUUCUGAAA
rnacentral:sRNA from 1 species